rnacentral:rRNA from 1 species
GAUGAACGCUAGCGGCAGGCCUAACACAUGCAAGUCGAGGGGUAGAAGGAGCUUGCUCCUUUGAGACCGGCGCACGGGUGCGUAACGCGUAUGCAAUCUACCUUGUACAGGGGAAUAGCCCAGAGAAAUUUGGAUUAAUGCCCCAUAGUAUAUAACCUUCGCAUGUUGGUUAUAUUAAAGUUCCAACGGUACAAGAUGAGCAUGCGUCCCAUUAGUUAGUUGGUAAGGUAACGGCUUACCAAGACGAUGAUGAGUAGGGGUCCUGAGAGGGAGAUCCCCCACACUGGUACUGAGACACGGACCAGACUCCUACGGGAGGCAGCAGUGAGGAAUAUUGGUCAAUGGUCGCAAGACUGAACCAGCCAUGCCGCGUGCAGGAAGACGGUCCUAUGGAUUGUAAACUGCUUUUAUACAGGAAGAAACCCUCCCACGUGUGGGAGCUUGACGGUACUGUAGGAAUAAGGAUCGGCUAACUCCGUG